GGGCCCAUAGCUCAGUUGGAAGAGCGGCCGGCUCAUAACCGGUUGGUCCCAGGUUCGAGCCCUGGUGGGCCCACCA
rnacentral:tRNA from 1 species